GACAGAGGGUGCAAACGUUGCUCGGAAUCACUGGGCGUAAAGGGCGUGUAGGCGGGCAGGUAAGUCGGGCGUGAAAUCCCUGGGCUCAACCCAGGAACUGCACUCGAAACUACUUGUCUUGAGUGUCGGAGAGGAAAGCGGAAUUCCUGGUGUAGAGGUGAAAUUCGUAGAUAUCAGGAGGAACACCAGUGGCGAAGGCGGCUUUCUGGACGAUAACUGACGCUGAGACGCGAAAGCGUGGGGAGCGAACAGG
rnacentral:rRNA from 1 species